AUUAAAUUAAUCCACUUUAGGGCUUACCUGAUAUGGAGUGAGAUUGGCUGGACCAGGACGGCAGCUCUUGGAGAGCUCCCAUCGAAUCUCCGUCCCUAGAGAGGCCCACUACUUGUUGUAGUGUGCCUUAAUGUGGGUUGUGCCAAACCUCCCAGCACCUGACUGCAGUUUCAUGGGAAGGAGCCACAGACAGAUAUGGAGGUGGCACUCCCCAAGGAACCAAGUGUGACCCCCAAAGAAUAGACCGCAAGGCUCGG